GCAAUAGAGUGCAGGGUUAUUAGGCCCAGGAGACUUGCCACAAAUUCGGAUGGCAGAACCAUCAAGUCACAAUACCCGGUGCUGGACAAUCACCCAUACUCAGAGGAAGGUCGGGCCCCACCAUAAUGCAUGUGAUGAGUCAUACCAAACUGCACACAGAGAUACAGGUGAGGAGGAUAGAGAUCAGAGAAGUUAAGUAACUUGCCAAAUGUCACACAAUGAACAAGAGUCGCUAUCUGGACCUAAAUCCACGUCUUUUCUAACAUCAACACCCAUGCUGUUGCAUGACAUCGCACUAAGGAACUACCUAACAAUGCCUGACAUCUACCAUGCUGGAAGCAAAGGUACAAGUCCGGAGGAGUCUGAUGUCAACGCCAGGGAAAGUCCUCUACUGGCAAGUAUGUGACACUGGGAAGACAUCUGCCAACAUACAUUCCCAGCGCCUGAGGCCCAUGUCUUGACAUACUGAGCCAGUGACAGGAGGACACCAAUGAUGACACAAUGUCAGAUAACCAAUGGGAAUGAGAGAUGACUGGUAAACCAAGUAAGAAGGCACUGGCAGAGGCAGCAAAGAGGGGUGGUGCUUGCGACAAGGCUGUAGCUUGAAAAGAAAAGAGGCCGUACCUUCACAGCCACGUUCUAUCUGUCCACUCCGAUGGAGGGCAUCGUUGAUGAGGUCUGGCAGACGCCCAUUCAAAUCCACCGAGGCCAGACAUCCCUGAAAGCCAUCCCGGGAAGCCACCAAUUUUGGAAGGUUGCUGUACAUGCCUUGGGCCAGACCCGCCAUGUAGAGGUCACCUGCAAAAGAAAGGCUUGAGCUGAGAUACCUGGUAUAAACUAUGUGAAGUCUUCUACUCACCCCUUGACUAGCUCAACUGCAAUGAAGUCAUUGCCAUCACCACUGUUGAAGAGGAUGAAGCCAUCAGCUGAGGUGGUCUUGAACUGGAAGAAGAGGUGCAUGGAGGUGUAUGCCUGGAGGGUGGCCAGGCUCAGAACUUUUGCUGGAACACCUUUGAGAGAGUCAUUCUUGGUAAAUAAGGUUUUUUGAAGGAAUAAGAAGAAAACCCAGAGCUGCCGGAGGCCUUGUGAUAAGGAGAGAGAUUGGGCCUGCCUGAGUAGACAGCCAACCCGGAAGAUAACCACAACAUGGACAGAAAGUUUCUCUAGGGUGAUGCCAUGUGAAGGUCUGGAUUCAGUAGUCACAGCCAGACUUUUAACUAUAUGGCAAUAGAUUCCCUUUUGUGCUUCAAGCAUUUGAGUUGGGUGUCUGACACUUACAAUUAAAAGAUCUCCAGCUGAUACAAAUAAACUUGUAGACCUUCAUUACAUGGCUUAUCUAGAAGUAGUAAGUGAAUAGGGCAGGAGUAAUGAAAGGGGUUUGAAAUAAAUACAAAAGAGAAUGGAAAUCUUAAUAACAAAGUUAAGAAAAACAGCAUUAGUAUGGCUAGAGUAGAUGGUGGCUCCCUCAAUAUUUAUAUAGACAAAUCAUUAAAAUUUAACAAACCAUGCCCUAAUGCCCCAGUGGUGAAGGAAGGGCAGGGAAAAUCCCUCCUCCUGCCCUAUCUUGUUGUUACCUCCCACACUGAAGAAACGUCACUACAAAGACAC